rnacentral:sRNA from 1 species
GAAGAGAUAUUGAAAUAGCGAUCUUUUACAUACCGAAGGGUCAAACAUGAUAAAGGCACUCAAAGAUUAAUAUGUGCAAAAGAUGGCCGCUCUGCCUACCAAAACGACAUGACAUGCGGAUGGAAGAUUUUUGCACCA